CAGCUAUAAUGGGACAAAUAAAAAUCAUUAUGCACCCUAAAAAAAUGAAAGAAAAAUGAAAACCCAUGAGUUCAAGUGCCGAUCUGGGUUGUGGCUGGGUUUAAGUCCCGGCACGUGGGUUCAAGUGCCAAUCUGGGUUCUGGCUGGGUUCAGGCCCUUGGUGCUGUCAGCUUCAGCUGGGGAUGAUGAAUGGCCACUGAGAAGGCAAGAAGAUGUGGGCGUUAGGUCCCGCUCCUAGAGCAGCAGCUCCAGGCCAGAGCCCCUAAUCUCCACACACUCCUCCUUGACCCUCAGGGUCUCCCUGCUCUAUUCCUUUCUCUCUCCUCUGAACCCCAGAAGACCUGUGUGACCACCAAGGGGUCCUGUUUCUGCCCCUGUCCUUGCAGGGGCGAGUGCUUUGUGGCCAGCUUGCCAGCCCGACGGACACCCACGCAUGGUGGGCACCGCUGGGGACUCCUUGCCUACCACUCCCUUGGGGCCGCUCCUCGGGAUCAUCUGAAGUGGUGCCGUGUUGUCACUCUCCCUCCAAGGAUGCAGAACCAAUGACUCCCACCCAGCAGGGCCGCAUCCAAGGCAUAUGGGGUCGAAUCA